AAUGUGAAUUGCAGAAUUCAGUGAAUCAUCGAAUCUUUGAACGCACCUUGCGCUCCUUGGUAUUCCGAGGAGCAUGCCUGUUUGAGUGUCAUUAAAUUCUCAACCCCUCCAGCUUUUACGAGUUGUGAUGGGGCUUGGAUCUGGGAGUUUGCGGGUCUUUAUCAAUAAAGGUCAGCUCUCCUGAAAUGCAUUAGCGGAACCGUUUGCAGUCCCGUCACUAGUGUGAUAAUUAUCUACACUGUGAUGAUUGCUCUCUGACUAGUUCAGCUGCUAAUCGUCCACUAUGGACAACACUUAAUGAACUUCUUGACCUCAAAUCAGGUAGGACUACCCGCUGAACUUAAGAGUAUCAAUAAGCGGAGGAAAAGAAACUAACAAGGAUUCCCCUAGUAACUGCGAGUGAAGCGGGAAAAGCUCAAAUUUAAAAUCUGGCGGUCUCUGGCCGUCCGAGUUGUAAUCUAGAGAAGUGAUGCCCGCGCUGGACCGUGUACAAGUCUCCUGGAAUGGAGCGUCAUAGAGGGUGAGAAUCCCGUCUCUGACACGGACUACCAGGGCUUUGUGGUAUCCUCUCAAAGAGUCGAGUUGUUUGGGAAUGCAGCUCUAAAUGGGUGGUAAAUUCCAUCUAAAGCUAAAUAUUGGCGAGAGACCGAUAGCGAACAAGUACCGUGAGGGAAAGAUGAAAAGAACUUUGGAAAGAGAGUUAAACAGUACGUGAAAUUGCUGAAAGGGAAACGCUUGAAGUCAGUCGCGUUGGCCAGGACUCAGCCUCGCUCUUGCGUGGUGUACUUUCUGGUUGACGGGUCAGCAUCAAUUUUGACUGCUGGAAAAAGGCUUAGGGAAUGUGGCAGCUUCGGCUGUGUUAUAGCCCUUUGUCACAUACAGCGGUUGGGAUUGAGGAACUCAGCACGCCGCAAGGCCGGGUUUCGACCACGUUCGUGCUUAGGAUGCUGGCAUAAUGGCUUUAAGCGACCCGUCUUGAAACACGGACCAAGGAGUCUAACAUGCCUGCGAGUGUUUGGGUGGUAAACCCGAGCGCGUAAUGAAAGUGAAAGUUGAGAUCCCUGUCGUGGGGAGCAUCGACGCCCGGACUGGAGCUUUUGUGACGGAUCCGCGGUAGAGCAUGUAUGUUGGGACCCGAAAGAUGGUGAACUAUGCCUGAAUAGGGUGAAGCCAGAGGAAACUCUGGUGGAGGCUCGUAGCGAUUCUGACGUGCAAAUCGAUCGUCAAAUUUGGGUAUAGGGGCGAAAGACUAAUCGAACCAUC
rnacentral:rRNA from 1 species